UUGAUACUCCCUCCGAUCCAUAUUAUUUGUCUUAGAUUUGUCUAUAUCUAUAUCUAGACAAAUCUAAGACAAGUAAUAUGGAUCGGAGGGAGUACUAG
rfam:Hordeum vulgare subsp. vulgare, WGS project CAJW01000000 data, contig: morex_contig_275595